rnacentral:rRNA from 1 species
UACGUAGGGUGCAAGCGUUGUCCGGAAUUAUUGGGCGUAAAGAGCUCGUAGGCGGUUUGUCACGUCGGAUGUGAAAGCCCGGGGCUUAACCCCGGGUCUGCAUUCGAUACGGGCAGACUGGAGUGUGGUAGGGGAGAUCGGAAUUCCUGGUGUAGCGGUGAAAUGCGCAGAUAUCAGGAGGAACACCGGUGGCGAAGGCGGAUCUCUGGGCCAUUACUGACGCUGAGGAGCGAAAGCGUGGGGAGCGAACAGG